rnacentral:rRNA from 1 species
UACAGAGGUCUCAAGCGUUGUUCGGAUUCAUUGGGCGUAAAGGGUGCGUAGGCGGCGGGGCAAGUCAGGUGUGAAAUCCCGGGGCUCAACUCCGGAACUGCACUUGAUACUGCCUCGCUAGAGUACUGGAGAGGAGACUGGAAUUUACGGUGUAGCAGUGAAAUGCGUAGAGAUCGUAAGGAAGACCAGUGGCGAAGGCGAGUCUCUGGACAGUUACUGACGCUGAGACGCGAAAGCGUGGGGAGCAAACAGG